AGCAGCCGCGGUAAUUCCAGCUCCAAUAGCGUAUAUUAAAGUUGUUGCAGUUAAAAAGCUCGUAGUUGAAUUUCGGGAUCAAUAUAUUGGUCGUGCCUCCGGUAUGCACUGGUAUUAUUGAUUUCUACCUUCUGACGAACUGUGAUGUCAUUAAUUUGGUGUCAUGGGGAAUCAGGACUGUUACUUUGAAAAAAUUAGAGUGUUUAAAGCAGGCACACGCUUGAAUACAUUAGCAUGGAAUAAUGAAAUAGGACGUUUGACCCUAUUUGUUGGUUUCUAGGAUCGACGUAAUGAUUAAUAGGGAUAGUUGGGGGCAUUAGUAUUCAAUUGUCAGAGGUGAAAUUCUUGGAUUUAUUGAAGACUAACUACUGCGAAAGCAUUUGCCAAGGAUGUUUCAUUAAUCAAGAACGAAAGUUAGGGAUCGAAGACGAUCAGAUACG
rnacentral:rRNA from 1 species